GGUCUGGAUACGUCUCUAUCAAUGUGAAAUGAGCACAGCUCGUCCUCAGUUCAGUCAACUCCUCGGCCUCUGGAGAGUAUUACUGUGAAGCUGAGAACACGCUGGGGAGAAGGACAUCCAAACACAUCUCUAUAAAUGUCAAAUGGGGAGGGAAAUCAGUGGCUGUUGCUGGAACAAUCACGGUUGUUCUCCUGGUUAUCGUGUUCCUCUCUGUCCUCGUGUGGAUCAGACAAAAGAGGGCUUCCAAUGAACCGUCUGAGGCUGAAGAGAGACAAGAACACACGGAGCAGGUGAG